rnacentral:rRNA from 1 species
AUGGCUUUGGUAGAUCACCAGUGUGAGGGUGGUCUUUGGCUGCAGAUUAUCCGUAACAAAUAUCUGCGCGGCCAACCCCUUGCUUUCUGCCAAUGGACUGGUGGUUCCCAGUUCUGGCAGUCCAUCAUACAUCUGCUUCCUGUACUCCGGAUUGGGACCUCCAUCAUGGUAGGAACGGGCGCUAGUACCCUAUUCUGGUUUGAUAGGUGGGCGGGCGACGCCCCCUUUGCAGCCCGCUUCCCGGACUUGUUUGCCAUUGCUAUGGACCCUCGGGUCUCCGUCGAGACGGCCCUUAUUGACUUAGGGCACCUCGCCUUCAGGCGGCCCUUUGGGCCCCUAGAAGUGAAUGUAUGGCACGAGCUAUUGGACACCAUUGCUCUGCAUGAGCCAGACCUCUCGCGACCCCAGGACCUUGUAUCUUGGUGCUUAGAGCCUUCGGGCAACUUCUCCACCAAAUCCCUCUACAGGGCUAUCGCCCCCUCCCCCGCCCCGGAUCCACUCAUGUUGACCUGGGAGAUCAAACUCCCCCUAAAGAUCAGGAUCUUCCUCUGGCAAUGGAUCCAUGGGCGUGUCCCGUCAGGUGUGGAGGUGCUGAAACAUAAUGGCCCCGGUGAUGGGAUGUGCCCCCUGUGUGGCACGCUCGAGGAUUCUAAUCAUAUCUUCUUCUCCUGCGUCUCUGCUCAAUUCCUGUGGAGUUGCCUCCGCGAAGCGGUUAGUGGUCGUUGGUGCAACACCAACUUCCCGGAUCUCUUCGACGAGGUUCAGGCUUCGCCCCAGCCUGGCCGCCACAUUAGGUGGCUAGCGAUUGGGCUCCUUGCAUGGACACUGUGGACUAUUCGCAACAAGCUCGUGAUUCAGCGCAUGGCCCUUCGACGAUCGACUGACACAAUUUUUAAAAUGUGUGGUUACCUGCAGCUUUGGCUGCCGCUUAGCCGUCCCCAGGAUCUCGAUGCCGUCAACAACAUCAUCGCUUCCCUCCGUGCGUUGGCCAUCCGCCUGGCGCCACCGCUCCCUCCACCACCACCAGAGCCGGAUUAG